ACAAAGCAAAUGGAGUUAAAAAAUAAUCUGUUUGAUCAGAUGUGCACAUAUAUAUGUUAAUUCCCACAGUGAAGUACAGGUAAGUGCAUAAUUUUAAAGAAAGAUGGAGGGUAAAAUUGCCUUUCUUUAAUUUCAGGUAAAGCAAGCAAACAAUACAACAAGGUUAGUUUAGCCCUGGUUACCAAAAACCAGUCUUAAGUGACAAGACUGGAAGAGUGUAUGUAAGAACGUGUCAAAGAGCCCUGCAGUUUCAUAAAACCUUUUAUAGUAUUUUAAAUAAUAUUAUUUUUAAAGGAGUCAUGGUGUCACGGACAGAAGGAGACAACAGAGCUAAUACAGUUCACAAAGGUUUAUUAUUGCAGGUGGCAGAGAUGGGGAGAAUAAACAGGUUAGUAGAUUGAAUGAUGACAGGUUGAAUGAACUUAGCUGGAUGAUAACAGUCUCUUUGUAUUUGUAGAUGAUGGUGAGCGGAUUGGUCUGGACUGAAGACAAAGGACGAUGAAGGUGAGGGAUCUCAAUUGUGAGACGAACAGAUGGACAAUCUGUCUGACCAAGAUGUGUAUCAAAAGAGGUCAAGGGCAGUUGGGGUAAGUGUCCCAGACAGAAUCAACUUAAGUUUUUUAAGAAUAGCAGACAUAUUUUUGUGGGUAGAUUUAUUCAGGAGAAGAUGAUUACAGCAUUGGGAUCCACUUGGAUAAAAUGAAAACCAAAUGCUUGGAGAUCACCAAAUCCUUUUAGAGGACUAAAUGACACGGACAAAGAGUGAGAGGACAGACUAUAUGAAACAUCACUCCACAAAGGAUGAUAUUAUCAUGAUAUCCAGCCCUUAAUGUCCCCUCAGUUGAACCACGUACACCCAACCCUGUGCUGUAUAUACUGUAAAUGGAUGUGCCUUGUGUAACAGGUGCGCUUCUCCUUUAAGUGAUGCGAGGUCACAGUAUGACCUAAUUUCCUGUCCUGUCUCCUCCUCUUCCCUUUUGAACUGUGAUUCAAUGGAAGAGAGUGUUAUAUGGGCCACUCGAUCUGAGGCUGCUUAUUUGUCUCUGUUAAACAGUAAAAAGAUCCAGUGAAUCGACUGCUUGCUGUCCCGUGUCUGUUUCUGCAUCCACACAACGUAACACAACGCAGACCAAGUUUUAAUACCCAGUGUCGCUGGCCGCACAUCACGCUGGGCAUAAGCGAGCCACACGGGUUACACUUGGAUGCAGUCUGUUUUAGAAAUAAUGAUGCAAGGGGAGAAGGUCUAUGAAGUAGACGAUAUGACCAGGUCAUAUGACAAUGUACUUCAUCUUCAACCUUGAAUAUGGUUCAAGGCCGAGAAACACUCUAACAUUAUUUGAAAAAUAAAAAUGUCCUGUUUAAUGUCCUGUUUAAACAUUAUCUUAAAAAAUAUAUAUAAAUUAAAAAUUAAAUGAUUAAAAAUAAUAUAAAAAUGAUAGAUAUUCAGCUACAUUCUGUUAAAGGUUGAUGGAAAUGUAUAGAUUAAUGAAUGAAUUUUUUUAUUUGAUUGUUUAUUUAUUUAUUUAUUUGAAUGAUAAAAAACAAUAUUCCUUUUUUCUCUGUCCAUUGGUGCCUGU